GCAGGGAGGGGGGGAAAGGAUGAAGCUGCAACAGCCGGGACUCCGGCAUCGCUCCUUUCCGCUCCUCCGCCACCCAAGAGUCAGGCCCAGCCACCAGCACAAAUCCUGCGGCAGCCUCCGAUGGGAAAGGGGGGAUGAGGGGAGGGUGACGAGGGGGCCCGCGGCCUCACAGCGAGGGCCAGGCACAGGGACACCGGAUGGGUGACCGUGCCCUCUUCACCCACUGGCCUCAACUGCCGCUCUGAAAAAGCUGAUUUAAGCCAAAUAUUAUGACUUUGUGUACAACUGCGCCCUAUUUGAGGCUGUCAGAUGGCUGUAAGAACCCGAGUGUGCCUGGCUGUGAAUUACCAGGGCCGUCUCUUCUGGAAUUCUUUAAGAUUUAAAUGGAAGGAUUUUGCUAUCGUGGUCAAGGUGACAACAAAUCUUCCUUAGCCCUUUCAACUCCUAUGGAUCAUUGGCCUUGUCUAUGCUACUAAGAUUUGCAACCAUGUAAUUACCUCCUGAUAGACUCACCAUGCAAAUUUACAGCGCUGAUGCAGAGACCUUCCCAGCAUUGUCCCUGGUAUAUCAUCGUUACUCUCACGCUGUCAGCUGGCAACCCAUCACCUGAGCGCUGACUUUAGCCAGCAGUCCGUGUUACUACUUCGGAUUAACUCUAUUCGUGUUCGUAUCAUUUGUGCUGAGCAGAAGGAAGGGAAGUGUCACUGAGGGAGCAAAAGGAAGAGGAAAGUUGAAGACACGAGGGAGUGCGAUACAGCUUCAGGGGAAGGCAGAGGCCAGGGGAAAGGAAAACUGAGGAGCGUUUCCCUGCUGUUUUCCAGUGUUGGGAUGAUAAAAACCAGCUGUAUACCAGUUCCAAGCAGCUAACAUGCUCCAGCCCGGUAUAAGUAACUUCAGUGCGCUAAUAAAUUUAUCUAUGGAAGUUAUAUGUCUCUCAUUAUCUGCAACAUCAGUAUGACUUAAUUUAAACAUUGCUGACAUUCAGAAUAAAAUAAAUCUAAUCUAUGUAGAAACACACAGCUUGAGGAUUCAAAACACAUUAACUCUUCUAUCUAUUGAUAGCAUAGUAUGUUACUGUGUUUAUAAACAUAAAUUUAAUCUCGUUUAGAAGUACAAAUACGGAAAUACAUGCAUUAUCAGAAUUAAUGUUUAGCACUACAAAGCAAAAUUACAGUUCUUUUGCAAUAUGUUUGCUAUGCAUUUCUAGAUUUUAGCAUGUUAAGGCUAAAGCUUAACUCUAUAACUUAGCUUUUGAGGAGCUGUAAUGUAGGUUUGAAUGUUAAUUCUGCUGCAUUUCAAAUUACUGACUUAUGCUUAAUCUUCAUAUAAUUAUUGUUCAGCUAUGAACAUAAUGUAGUUAGUUAUAUAGCAAUGGAAGUCUCAAAGUUGUAUGUUGUUUUUGUGGGGGUUUUUUGUUUGGUUGUGUGUGUGUGUGUGUGUGUGCAUGCAGGGGGGUUGGUGUGUUAUUUUUUCCUAUUUUGGCAGAGAAGUGACUGUUGAUAUUCCCAUUCUAUGCCAGUGCCAAUGAAUAAAGUUUGUUAAGGGUUGAAUAGGCCAGAUAGAUAAUGCUACUUCUGUUUUCAGCAGAUGCUAAUGGAGUGUUUUAUUUUGCAGAUAUAUUAAUCUUUGCUGCCUCAGUGCAGAAUGGUGAGGGUAACCAUGUCGGUCCUAAAGGUUAAUUUCAUUCUUUUUUAAGGCAUGCCAUUAUUCUGUUAACAGUAAUUGCUCCUUUUUUGAAUGAUUAAUUUGAUCAUAUGAACUGUUUCUAAUUAUGUUGGUGGCUGGCAAUUUCCUGUACUGAAAAACUGUAACUGUGAUUGUAUCCCAUUUACUUGGUAUAUAUGCCUUGAGAAAAAUGCUCAUGACAGACCUUUUCAGAACUAUCCACUAAUUCUGAGAACUGUUUGGAGACUUUUAUAUAAGAUGCCUAGCACUUGUUUUAUAUUGGUGUUGAGUAUGUGCAAAUGUACUUGACAAACGAGGGCUGAAACAACUGGAUUCGCGAUGUACGAUGAGCCGGUUUGAAAUGCAGGCCUAACUGCUAAAUUAUCACCUGUGCUGUGGAAAACGAAAGGAGUAGGAUGUGUUUCUUGCACAUUUUACCAUGUUCUUACACUCUUCUUGAGCUUGAUAUGCUCACUCCUCUAAGCUAUAUUUGUUCGCUUCAGUUAUUGUUAAUGAGCCAGAGCUUACGCUUUGCAAAUCAGUGCAGGCGUUUUCCGAGAUGCCCUUGCUUGGCGAACGAGCCGUGGCAGGGAGCGAAGCGUGGCUGCUGGGCUGCCUGCGGAGUCAGACCGCGGUUCACUGUCAGCAGCUCAACCCUGUAUGCAAGAGUGAUCCCACUGCGGCAUUUCUGGCUCCAGCGCCAAAUCUGCAUCCAGUUUACAUACAGUAGAAAAAACAUUGGACUGUCUCGGCUGCAUUUCCAGCAGCUGAACUAAACUGUGAUUCGAAUGAAGGAUGUACUCAGCUGAGAAGAGGUGUUGGGCUUGGCUGGUGUGUAGCGGAGGCUAUGUGAAGAUUCACCCACUCUGUUGUCUCACACUGAAGCUGGACAUGGUUGUAGUACCACUGUGCUAAUAAUAGCAUCAUCCCCAUGAACACAAGCCACCAUGUGUUGGACACUCCUUUUGCAAAUGCUACAGCAACUGGGCAUGUGGUGUUUGCUGAAGGGCUGAGGUUAUCUGUAUCUUUUGGGUUUGAGCUGGUUCUUCAAGGCAGGAAUAAAUUGUUUGCACUGGUCCAAAGGAGAAGAUAGGCAUUUAAAUGGGACUUGGAAUUUGGGAGUCUAACCUGUGAUUCAAAGCCCCAACUUCUGUCUUGCUCCAGAAGUCCUUUAUAGGGGCUAGAAAAGGUAAUUUUGCACCUGACUGAAAAUACACCCCUCCCAACACACAGCUCACCUAAAAUACCAAAAUCCCAAACCCCAGCAUUCCCUCCAGUGAUCUGACAUUGAGGCCUUCACAGUGCAGUUAAAUGCUUUGCCACAGCAUGCUGUCUUGAAUGGACAUUCUACAUGUGUUCCUUAUUUCAUGUACACUUGUAAACUGUUACAUUUGACUUAUAUUUGGAGUCACUGGCAAAUCUAUGUACUUAGUGUUACGUAAA